GAUGAACGCUGGCGGCGUGCCUAAUACAUGCAAGUCGAGCGAAUGGAUUAAGAGCUUGCCCUUAUGAAGUUAGCGGCGGACGGGUGAGUAACACGUGGGUAACCUGCCCAUAAGACUGGGAUAACUCCGGGAAACCGGGGCUAAUACCGGAUAACAUUUUGAACCGCAUGGUUCGAAAUUGAAAGGCGGCUUCGGCUGUCACUUAUGGAUGGACCCGCGUCGCAUUAGCUAGUUGGUGAGGUAACGGCUCACCAAGGCAACGAUGCGUAGCCGAACUGAGAGGGUGCGCGGCCACACGGGGACUGAGACACGGCCCAGACUCCUACGGGAGGCAGCAGUAGGGAAUCUUCCGCAAUGGACGAAAGUCUGACGGAGCAACGCCGCGUGAGUGAUGAAGGCUUUCGGGUCGUAAAACUCUGUUGUUAGGGAAGAACAAGUGCUAGUUGAAUAAGCUGACACCUUGACGGUACCUAACCAGAAAGCCACGGCUAACUACGUGCCAGCCGCCGCGGUAA
rnacentral:rRNA from 1 species